rnacentral:lncRNA from 1 species
GCCGUACUAUAUAUUUAAGAGGAUAGGGGGCGUGGCCUAUCAGAUUGCAUUGCCACCGCCAUCAAAUCUUCAUGGUGUUUUUCAAGUGUUGCAGCCGUGAGAAUGUAUUUUCGAUUUGUCGUACGUGAUUUAAUCCGAUGAUGUGCAAGUGAGAAGGUAUCUGACCGUGGAAUUCGUGUAGUUACAAAUUGAAGGUAAAGAGGCGAAACACCAAAGGAACAAAGAAAUCGUUACGAUGAACGUAGUCUGGGAAGGACUUACUAGUGAGGAUGCGACACUUGAAUUGGAGAGAGUCGAAUGAAUGAAUUUUAUCUAGCGUUGUUUCCUUCAGGCAAUUUUCGAGGACGAAAAUCUUAUAAGUGGGGGAGAGUUGUAACGCCCCAAAAAUUAGAAUUCAUUUUAUUUAGUU